AGUUACAUCAGUUACAGGAAGAGGAUUUCCAACAUUUAAAAGACAAGGACGACGAAGAGGAAGAAGGUGGGGAGACGGUUACGGUGCAGGAAGCCAACAGGAGAGAUGAUCUGGGGGGACGCUGUGACCCCAUAUGUGUGGGGUGGAAUUACCCAGCAGGAAGAGGAGGACCACAGGAACAAAGGGCUGGGGACCAGGGUCUGACAGGGGCUGUCAGUGCUGCCCUGUAGGGGGCUAAACGUGAGAAGCUCUCCUACUCCCUCCUGGGUCUCACCACUUCCUGCAGCCCAUAGCUUCCUUUCCACUGGCCUGUGGCUCUACACAACUGUGUGCUGAGCUUGGCAACCUGCCAAGGGUUUGCCCUGAAUCACCAUUGACUCCAGUGUACUCAUGUGUGCAGUGUUGGAAUUGCUUGCUAUAAUUGGCUUUAGUUCCAUGCACUACUGAAAGUGUAAAGAGGGCUGGAGGGUCUACACAGGGUUCAAAAGCUGAUUUAUGUAGUACAUGAUACACGUUGGGAUGGUGACUUGAAGGGUUAUGACACUGUGCGUGUGAUUGGAAGAUUGUUGGUUCAAAUCUUAGGGUGAUGUCAGUAUUGGGCCCCUACACUCCACGGACUGGACGACCCAGCUUUCUCAACUGUCUAUCACUUUGAGUAAAAGUGUCUGGUAAAUAUUGCACAUACUUUACAGUCCCACAUAACUGUGGCCUCUGUGGUUUAGUGGGUGAGGACACAUCAAACCUGCCUCUGUUAAAUGAUUAGUAUGCGCCAAAUAUGGGGCUGGCCGAUCAGUACGGGUCAGGCAUAGCAGUCAAGCUCCGGCUGGAUCAUCUGAGCAGGUUGUGAGAACCAGGGAUUACCUGAAGGGAGAUCCGGGUGGAUCCCUGGUGGACGGUGUCACCCUGGAUCCUGUGAUUCUCGGGGAAGGCUUCAGGUCUUGCAGACUAUGGGGAGAAAGGUUCAGGGCUUUACUGAUCUGAUAAAAGACAAACCCACCUCCGCACAUCCCAUUUUCUCCACCUAUGAAUCCAGGACAACGGGAGGGGUUCAGCCUUCCCCUUCGUCUGGCUCCAAUUUUGACAGCCUCUGCAGAUUAUAUAAAUGGAUGAAGCUGAAAACCUUAAUUAAACUGCAAUAUUUUUAGCUACUUAAACCCUUCAAAGCACAAACACUCCUUGCAACCGAGGUUCUUUCAGUCCUGCACAGCGGGAACAAAUGAGUGCAUACAGGGAUCGCUUGCCCUGUACUCAUGGACUCUGGGUCAACCUCAUCGCGGAUGGAGGUGGGUCGCGGGGGCCAGAGGAAGCCUGAUAGCCAUCUCAGACUAGACAUUCACGGAUGUGUAUGAGGCGGGGCCUCAAGGGCACUGGCCCCAGCUGAAAGCUGAUUUGCUCCCGGAGUGCCCCCUCCCCUGUCAUUCAUAAAUUCAAAACAUUCCAUUGGCUAGUGAUAAGGUUGGCCCCUCCAUAUGAACCUUGGCCCCUCUUAGGCCCCACACUUUAAAAAAAUCCUAGAACCACCCCUGAGAGCAGUAGCGUGUGACCCAGCGAGCUAAACCCCCAAGCCCGUGCCAGCGACCCAAGAUGGCAGCCUCCAGAGGCAGUGGUGAUAUGUGAGUGUACAUUGGUGUUAAAAUACUAAGCUCACACUCAGAAAAAUCGGUUUGAAUAAAGAAUCUUGUUAUUUCCAGUCA